AAUGCCAACUAGAAUUAGGAUAUCCACUACCCAUGUUUGUUUUAUUUUUUUUUAUUUCACAGUACUUCAGGCCAGGAGUGGAAUUACAAAGAACAGCACAGAAACAAUUUAUAACAACACCGGCACUACAUGCAAUACACUUGCUGUACGUGUGGCACGAGGUGACAUCCUGAACACCCUGUGCCAGCAGGCCAGAUAACGCAGCUGAGGACUGCCUUAAUUUUAAUGUUGCUCUGCGUUUGGCACGAGGUGACGGGCCUGCUGGUGGGCCACCUGUCCAUACUGCUUUUCCUACUGCAAUCGGGGGCGCUCUCCGACCAACGGCUUGGUGAAGGCCUCGCCCACCCGUAUGCGAUCCUCAACACGUGAUUCCAACAGGCCAGUUGCUGUGCAUUUGGCAUGAAGUGACGGGCCUGCAGGUGGGCCACCUGUCCGUACUGCUUUUCCUACUGCAAUCGGGGGCGCUAUCCGACCAACAGCUUGGUAAAGGCCUCGCCUACCCGCAUGCGAUCCUCAACACGUGAUUCAACAGGCCGGUUGCUGUGCGUGUGGCAGGAGGAGGUGACAGGCCUACCUACAGGUGGGCCACCUAUCGGUACUGAUUUUCCUACUGCCAUCGGGGGUGCUAUCCGACCACCGGCUUGGUGAAGGCCUCGCCUACACGUAUGCGACCCUCGACACCUGGUGCCACCAGGCCAGGACUGCAAGGUGAAGACUGCGCCGGAAUACGGGUACGGGGACCAAGCCUACAUUUUGCCCCAUCCAAUUGCGUUUGCUCUUUUGGCGAGUCAUAGACUUGCUGUAUGUGUGGCACGAGGUGACCGGCCUGCUGGUGGGGUACCUAUCCAUGAGCCUUCCUGAACACCCUGUGCCAGCAGGCCAGUUGCUGUGCAUUUGGCGUGAAGUGACGGGCCUACAGGUGGGCCACCUGUCCGUACUGCUUUUCCUACUGCAAUCGGGGGCGCUAUCCGACCAACAGCUUGGUAAAGGCCUCGCCUACCCGUAUGCGAUCCUCAACACGUGAUUCAACAGGCCGGUUGCUGUUCGUGUAGCAGGAGGAGGUGACAGGCCUACAGGUGGGCCACCUGUCCGUACUGAUUUUCAUACUGCAAUCGGGGGUGCUAUCCGACCACCGGCUUGGUGAAGGCCUCGCCUGCCCAUAUGCGACACUGGACACCUGGUGCCACAAGGCCAGGACUGCAAGGUGAAAACUGCGCCGGAAUACGGAUACGGGGACUGAGCCUACAUUUUGCCCCAUCCAAUUGCGUUUGCUCUUUUGGCGAGGCAUAGAUUUGCUGUACGUGUGGCACGAGGCGACCGGCCUGCUAGCGGGAUACCAUCCUGAAUACCCUGUGCCAGCAGGCCAGGUACCUAUCCGGGUCAAUUAAAGGCCUCUUGAGAAAAGGAAAACGAAUAGUUGCUGUGCAUUUGGCAUGAAGUGACGGGCCUGCAGGUGGGCCACCUGUCCGUACUGCUUUUCCUACUGCAAUCGGGGGCGCUAUCCGACCAACAGCUUGGUGAAGGCCUCGCCUACCCGUAUGCGACCCUCGACACAUGGUGCCACCAGGCCAGGACUGCAAGGUGAAGACUGCGCCGGAAUACGGAUACGGGGACCAAGCCUACAUUUUGCCCCAUCCAAUUGCGUUUGCUCUUUUGGCGAGUCACAGACUUGCUGUACGUGUGGCACGAGGUGACCGGCCUGCUGGCAGACUACCAUCCUGAACACCCUGUGCCAGCAGGCCAGACUUGCUGUACGUGUGGCACGAGGUGACCGGCCUGCUGGCAGGCUACCUAUCCGUGAGCCAUCCUGAACACCCUGUGCCAGCAGGCCAGACUUGCUCUACGUGUGGCACGAGGUGACCGGCCUGCUGGCGCGCCAUCCUGAACACCCUGUGCCAGCAGGCCAGACUUGCUCUACGUGUGGCACGAGGUGACCGGCCUGCUGGCGCGCCAUCCUGAACACCCUGUGCCAGCAGGCCAGAUAACGCAGCUGAGGACUGCCUUAAUUUUAAAGGAAACGCAGCCGCUGCACUAAGAGAAGUGCCCUAUCCUUGGCUCAGGGGCGGAUUCAGUUGCUCUGCGUUUGGCACGAGGUGACGGGCCUGCUGGUGGGCCACCUGUCCAUACUGCUUUUCCUACUGCAAUCGGGGGCGCUCUCCGACCAACGGCUUGGUGAAGGCCUCGC